rnacentral:rRNA from 1 species
AACGAACGCUGGCGGCAUGCCUAACACAUGCAAGUCGAACGAGAUCUUCGGGUCUAGUGGCGCACGGGUGCGUAACGCGUGGGAAUCUGCCCUUUGGUUCGGAAUAACAGUUGGAAACGACUGCUAAUACCGGAUGAUGACGAAAGUCCAAAGAUUUAUCGCCGGAGGAUGAGCCCGCGUAGGAUUAGCUAGUUGGUGUGGUAAAGGCGCACCAAGGCGACGAUCCUUAGCCGGUCUGAGAGGAUGAUCAGCCACACUGGGACUGAGACACGGCCCAGACUCCUACGGGAGGCAGCAGUGGGGAAUAUUGGACAAUGGGCGAAAGCCUGAUCCAGCAAUGCCGCGUGAGUGAUGAAGGCCUUAGGGUUGUAAAGCUCUUUUACCCGGGAUGAUAAUGACAGUACCGGGAGAAUAAGCUCCGGCUAACUCCGUGCCAGCAGCCGCAAUAA